rfam:Stegodyphus mimosarum contig51965, whole genome shotgun sequence.
GCCUUCGUGGCGUAGUGGUCAGCACGCUCAACGGAUAUUCGAGAGGUUCAUGGUUCGAGUCCCGGCGAGGGCA